UGAGGAAUAUUGCACAAUGGGCGAAAGCCUGAUGCAGCGACGCCGCGUGGAGGAUGAAGGUUUUCGGAUUGUAAACUCCUGUUAAGUGGGAAAAAAGAACUGUCCUAAAUAGGGACAGGUGAUGAUGGUACCACUAAAGAAAGCACCGGCUAACUUCGUGCCAGCAGCCGCGGUAAUACGAGGGGUGCAAACGUUAUUCGGAAUCAUUGGGCGUAAAGGGUGCGUAGACGGCAAAAAAGUCAGUUAUUAAAUUUUUCAGCUUAACUGAAAACCUGUGAUUGAAACUGAUUUGCUUGAGGAUGGAAGAGAGAAGCGGAAUUCUCGGAGUAGCGGUAAAAUGCAUAGAUCUCGAGAGGAACACCGAUGGCGAAGGCAGCUUCUUGGUCCAUAUCUGACGUUGAGGCACGAAAGCGUGGGGAGCAAACAGG
rnacentral:rRNA from 1 species